CGGAGAGGGGGCCCGGCCCCCGGGCCGCCCAGCUCAGCGCCGCCCGCGGGCUCCGGAGCGCAUCGGGAGCUGGGCCGGGCUUGGGGCCGCGCUGCCGCCGGCGCUGCGCUGUGCUCCGCGUUCGCCUAUUGAUCUGAUCCGCGGCGGCGACGGCGGCGGCGAGGAGCCAGGUCAGGUCCGAACAGAUUGGCGGAGAUUCCCGGGGCUCCGGGCUCUGAUUGACAUUUCUACGGGGCGCAAGCCCCUCCUCUCUGCGCCGCGCUCCCUCCUCUCGGCCGCCGGAGCUGCCUCUGCCCGCGCCUCGCUCCUCACUGCCCUCCUCUCCCCAGCAGUGUCGCGCCUCGCUUCCUUCUCCCUCCUCUAGUUUUCACUCCCCCUCCUCGCCCUUCCUCUCCCCUCCCCUCUCCGCACUCCUCUUCCCCCCAGGAUCGCUUCCGCUCCUUCGGGCUCCUGCACUGCCCUGGACGCUAUGAAACUCUCCUUUCUCCUCUCCCCUUCCCUUUCCCUUUCUCACGAUGGCUUUUGCUCUCCGGUCCGUUCCCUUCACUUUUUCCUCUCUCACUACUUCUAUUCUUUAAAUCUCUCUCUUUACUCACACGAUACUUCCCCCAACCUUUCCAGCCUCUGCACCCUGGGCUAAGUAAGGCAGCCAAAAGUUGUGGACACUUAGGGUGCCGCGCGGGGGGUGUGUGUCCGUGUCUGUGUGUCCAUCCCCGCCCUUCCACCCCCUCCCUCGCCCUUCCCCAAAUCUCGGGUCUGACGUCGCGCCCUCUUAUUCGACUUUUCCCCGCGUCUCUUCCCCGAGUCGCCAAUCGCCUGGGCGCCUUACGGGCGAGGCCGCCCACCCCCGCGGAUUCCGCGCGCAGGGCGGGGCGGGGCAGGGGCGGGAGCCGGAGUGCCGCGAGUCCCUGCCCGCCCCCUCCUGCCCGCGCCGGGCGGGGGAGCGAGAGGCGCGGGGACUGGCUGUGAUGCCACGAGAAUACUCAGAUAGCACACGGACAGGCCCACAUGGUAAUGAAUUGCAACUUGCCAGCAACCAUGUGGGUUAGCUUGAAGCAGAUUCUCCAGUCCUGAGUCUUCAGGUGACUGUAGCUCUGGCUGACCAUGUGACUGAACCUGAGGAGAAUCGCUGAGCCAAAGACACACAGAUAAGCUGCACCUGGAUUCCUGACCUACAGAAACUGUGAAGUAGUAAAUGUUUGUUGUUCAAAGCCAAGGGUUGGCAAAAUACAUUCCACUUGUUUUUGUAAAUAAAGUUUUUUUUUUUUUUUUUUUUUUUUUUUUUUUUUGAGACGGAGUCUCGCGCUGUGUCACCCAGGCUGGAGUGCAGUGGCGCGAUCUCGGCUCACUGCAAGCUCCGCCUCCCAGGUUCAGGCCAUUCUCCUGCCUCAGCCUCCCGAGUAGCUGGGACUACAGGCGCCCGCCACCACGCCCGGCUAGUUUUUUGUAUUUUUAGUAGAGACGGGGUUUCACCAUAUUAGCCAGGAUGGUCUCGAUCUCCUGACCUCGUGAUCCGCCCGCCUCGGCCUCCCAAAGUGCUGGGAUUACAGGCUUGAGCCACCGCGCCCGGCCGUAAAUAAAGUUUUAUUGGACCUUGGUAACGUUCGUUAAUGUGCCUAUUGUUAUGGCUGCUUUCAUACUUCAACAGCAGGAGCUAUUGAGUAGCUGCAGCAAAAGACUAUAUGGCCCACAGGUCUAAAAUAUUUACUAGGUGACCCUUUAAGGAAAAGUUUGUCUAUCCCUGUUUUAAGCUGCUAAGUUUGGGAAAAAUAGUUACCUAGCAAUGGAUGACGAAUACAAUAGCUUUCAAAUCCAAAACAUUGGUCCUAACUGGGCUUGCAGGUCUUGAGGUAGGGCAUCUAAUUUCAGUUUAGCUUUGUUUAAUAGAUAUUAACUAAGCACCUACUGUGUGCCAGGCAUGGUCUCAAUCAUAUUCCAGAAUGCCACAUUCAGUUCUUUCUCCACUGUCCCCUCCAGCAUUUUCUUGGUCUAUGGCAUGAUUUGCCAAAUAUUUGUGGAUUUAAGUUGGCUUUUAGAGACUGGAAUUAGCAAGACACUCUUUGGAAUGCAACAGAUAACUCUGUAAUCAUGGGGAGGUGAGCAGGGAGCAGGAGGACAUUUAGCUGGUAUUUCCAUGCAAAGUUCUGAUAGUUGUUAAAAUAUGGAAAUGUUUCCAUCCCACCCUAUGGAAAUAGAGGGCCCCAAAGGCCCUACCUCCAGUAAACAAAGGGGUCAGGUAUAGCACAGCAGGGCCACCCAC
ensembl:lncRNA